rnacentral:rRNA from 1 species
UCCUACGGGAGGCAGCAGUGGGGAAUAUUGCGCAAUGGGGGAAACCCUGACGCAGCGACGCCGCGUGAAGGAAGAAGGCCUUCGGGUUGUAAACUUCUUUGAUCGGGGACGAAGAUGACGGUACCCGAGGAACAAGCCACGGCUAACUACGUGCCAGCAGCCGCGGUAAUACGUAGGUGGCAAGCGUUGUCCGGAAUUACUGGGCGUAAAGGGCGUGUAGGCGGCCGAGCAAGUCAAGUGUGAAAAGCCCCGGCUUAACCGAGGCAUUGCACAUGAAACUGUUUGGCUUGAGUGCAGGAGAGGGAAGUGGAAUUCCUAGUGUAGCGGUGAAAUGCGUAGAUAUUAGGAGGAACACCAGUGGCGAAGGCGACUUCCUGGACUGUAACUGACGCUGAGGCGCGAAAGCGUGGGUAGCAAACAGGAUUAGAUACCCUGGUAGUCCACGCCGUAAACGAUGGGUACUAGGUGUGGGUAGUUCACUCUAUCCGUGCCGCAGCAAACGCAAUAAGUACCCCGCCUGGGGAGUACGGCCGCAAGGUUGAAACUCAAAGGAAUUGACGGGGGCCCGCACAAGCAGCGGAGCAUGUGGUUUAAUUCGAAGCAACGCGAAGAACCUUACCAGGGCUUGACAUCCACAGUAGGCUGUAGAGAUACGGCUGUGCCCCUUUGGGGAACUGUGAGACAGGUGGUGCAUGGUUGUCGUCAGCUCGUGUCGUGAGAUGUUGGGUUAAGUCCCGCAACGAGCGCAACCCCUGUUGUUAGUUGCCAUCAUUAAGUUGGGCACUCUAACAAGACUGCCGGUGACAACUCGGAGGAAGGUGGGGAUGACGUCAAAUCAUCAUGCCCCUUAUGUCCUGGGCUACACACGUGCUACAAUGGCCGGAACAGAGGGCAGCGAAGGAGUAAUCCGGAGCCAAUCCCAAAAACCCGGUCCCAGUUCGGAUUGUGGGCUGCAACCCGCCCACAUGAAGUCGGAGUUGCUAGUAAUCGCGGAUCAGCCAUGCCGCGGUGAAUGCGUUCCCGGGCCUUGUACACACCGCCCGUCACACCAUGGGAGUUGGGGGCGCCCGAAGUCAGCUACUAAAGGCUGCCGAAGGUGAAACCAAUGACUGGGGUGAAGUCGUAACAAGGUAACCA